AACGGCCGCGGUAUCCUAACCGUGCAAAGGUAGCGUAAUCACUUGUUCUUUAAAUAAGGACUAGUAUGAACGGCUACAUGAGGGCCCGACUGUCUCCUGCAGCCAAUCUAUGAAACUGAUCUCCCAGUACAAAAGCUGGGCUAAACACAUAAGACGAGAAGACCCUGUGGAGCUUCAAACAAUUCUUGGCCCAUCCUAUAAAGCCUGACAGGCAUAAACUGAGUGAAACCAAACAGUUUUAAGUUGGGGCGACUGCGGGGGAAAACAAAACCCCCAUGAAAAACACUAUUUUAAGUGCACACACUGAUAAUAAAGAUUUGAUCCAGUAUAGCUGAUUAACGAACCAAGUUACCCCAGGGAUAACAGCGCAAUCUCCUUCAAGAGUCCCUAUCGCCAAGGAGGUUUACGACCUC
rnacentral:rRNA from 1 species